UCGCUUGUGAUCACUUCAGAAUUCACAAAUGAAGAUACAAAUUUAUAGCUCAGAUUAAGAUCUGAAGUUUAAUUAUUUCAAAGUGCAACUUUAGAAUCGAAAAUGUGAAUUCUUAUCAGUUCAAAGUGUAACUUUAGAAUCUGAUAUAAAGUUUUAGUUGUUUCAAAGUGCAACUUCAGAACCGGAGAUCUGAAGUUCUUAUCAUUUCAAAGUACAACUUCGGAAUCGGACCUUAUCAUUUCAAAGUGCAACUUCGGAAUCGGACCUGAAGUUUAGCUCUUCUUUCCUCUCAUGUUUUGAACUCUAACUUCUUUCCUCUCAUGUUUUGAACUCUAAAAUCAGCCAUAAAACCUCCACAAACCACCCAAUACAGCCACAACGACAGUAGUUCUCUUAAACCUUCAUUAACGCCGAUAGUCUCCUCCACUAAAAGCUACAUUAAACAGUCAUGAGAGCCACCCAAACAGCCACCAAAGGAACACACUUUUAUCUCCAAAACUAAUUGAAACAACCACCAUAACACUAUCACUAUUUCCGCCAUGUAAAAGCUGCGAUGCAACUGUGCAAAGAAAAAGAAGAAGCAGCAGCAGCGGAUCUGAAUUUUAGAGUUCUUUUAGGAUUGAGUAUCAGUUAAACUUUUUUUCCAAAAAUAAAUACAAAUUAAAUAUGGGCGACUAAAAAGGGUGCCUUGUGAAAUUUUUACAUUAACAGAACAUGCAUAGAAAUUAAAGUAGAAUAGGUAAAGGUAAUGGUUUAUUGAUCUUGUUCCUAUCUCUUCUAAUUAUAUUAUUUUAAAUUUCUGUUGUUUCGCCCGAAAGGGUUGAAAAAAACUAGUAUAUUAGUACAUUGUAUAUGCAAAGAUCUUGAACUCGUUGUAUUUAAUUUGUUUUACGUCAUAUCUUUCUUUGUCUUUUAUUUGUAUUUUUCCUAUUUUGCCUUCAGAAGAAUUAAAAGGGAGAAUGAUUUCAUUGUUUUACUAGGAAAAGCAAUUAUAUAUAAUACAGAUGAUAUACAUUAAGAUUUAAGGGUGCAAAACAAAAAUAACAAACAAGAAUAAUUCAAUGCUUUAACUCCCAAUCUCCGACUGCGGAAGCCAUUUGGACGUACAAUUAAUCCUUACUUUAUCCAAAGUUUUUAUAUUUCUUGUGACAUGCUUUUUCAUAACCUCAUCUCAUUUUCAGUUCUUAAUGCCAAAGAAGAAAAUCGCAUCUCUCUCUCCUUCUUAUCACCUGAAAAAACCCAUGAAAACCAUCAUAAAUUUUCACUGAACCAACCAGCAAAAUUCGUUCUUGGUGAAGCUCGAGUUGCUCCUCUUUUUUGUGGUGAUGAAGUACAGGGCAGGGCAUGUGCUGAUGAAGUACAUGUGAUGCAGUACAAGGCAGGUAUAUAUACUCUUGUAAAAUCUAAGGGGAAAUAUUUGAGGAAGUGGACGGAUUUGGUUUGUCUAUGGCGUAGAUGAUUCGAACGUCCUCAAGUUGUGAUUGAACUAUUUUGUGGUAAAACACCAAGGUAUAUAUACCCUUGUAAAAUCUGAGGGGAAGUAUUUGAGGAUGUGGACGGAUUUGGUUUGUCUAUGGCGUAGACGAUUCGAACGUCCUCAAGUUGUGGUUGAACUGUUUUGUGAUAAAACACCAAGGUAAUGUACGGGAUAAAAUUUGAAGACGGCCGUAUGAAUUAGUCUUUUUGGGAGAACUUAUGGAGAUCGCAUUUGCAUAUGCACUAUGGUUUUGUAUAGUUUUGGGAUUUGUACAUGAUAUAUAUGUCACACUUAUGUAUGUUAUUUGGAGGCUUGUUGGAUUUUAAGACCAAAAUCUUGUAACUUGAAUUUAGUAACUUAUUUUGCUAUUUUAGGAUGUGUUAAUAACUUAAGUCUUGUAAUAUGCUGAAUUUACACUUUGUCUUGUAAAUAUGUACAAAGGAGAAAACUAG